AGUGAACGCUGGCGGUAGGCCUAACACAUGCAAGUCGAACGGCAGCACAGUAAGAGCUUGCUCUUACGGGUGGCGAGUGGCGGACGGGUUAGGAAUGCAUCGGAAUCUACUUUUUCGUGGGGGAUAACGUAGGGAAACUUACGCUAAUACCGCAUACGACCUACGGUUGAAAGCAUGGGAUCUUCGGACCUUGCGCGAUUGAAUGAGCCGAUGUCGGAUUAGCUAGUUGGCGGGGUAAAGGCCCACCAAGGCGACGAUCCGUAGCUGGUCUGAGAGGAUGAUCAGCCACACUGGAACUGAGACAAGGUCCAGACUCCUACGGGAGGCAGCAGUGGGGAAUAUUGGACAAUGGGAGCAAGCCUGAUCCAGCCAUACCGCGUGGGUGAAGAAGGCAUUCGGGUUGUAAAGCCCUUUUGUUGGGAAAGAAAAGCAGCAGGUUAAUACCCCGCUGUUCUGACGGUACCCAAAGAAUAAGCACCGGCUAACUUCGUG
rnacentral:rRNA from 1 species